AGUUUAAGUAGAAUUUUGUUCGUAUUUUAUCUGUAAAAAUGUACUCCCUUGAACUUGUUGAACCUUUUUCACCUUUUGUCUCAUUGGUUCUUUAUUUUGUGACGGUAUCACCCUAGCGUCGGUAGACUACUCAUUCAUUGGUGAAUUGUAAAUCUGGGUGGACUUUGUCUGUGGGAAGUGAGUACUUUUAAGUUUGUGAAAAGUUGUAAUUUGUUAAGUUCCAGUUUAGACUCGGUGGAAGAAGCAUUGUCCACUUAAAAGUCUGUGUCUCAAUGUUUUUGUAUUGGAACUUCCCUGUCUUUUAAAUUCGACUAAGUUUUAUAAAUGUGAUUGGACUAAUUGGUUUUCUAUUAAAAAUAAAGACAGUGUAAUAAGCACCACGGCGGUGAACAAUAUUGUUAUUUUGUGAAUGUUGCAAAAUCAUCAACCACCCCCAUCCCGACCUUAACGGCUCACGAGAAGUGUCAUAGUUUCAUCCGUGGUAAAAUACACCACAGUACCAGUGUUCUAUAAGAAUCCGAAUCACGACAAAAUCUGAAAUUGGAUUCAUGCAGAGCACUACUACCUCUUGGUUAUAGUUACAUAAACUUAGGAUGAGUGAGGGCGUUAUUCCCAGUAGCAAAAGAGAGAUCAAAGCUACCAUGAGAAAAUUGUGCCACACAUUAUCAGGAAGUAGCUUGAUGAAAGAUGAACGCAUUCCCUCCGGCCGUCUCUGAGGUGAUGGUGUGCGUGCAUUAUCGCUGGAUUAUGGACUUUGCUGCCGUCGUGGUCUCCUCAACUACGCGCCACUCUUCCACUAAUUAUCUCCCUUUCUCCUCUAUCCGUACUACAGGCAUCCUUAAUACUGCUCGCGAACCUGAAUAUUUGUGUGUAUUACCUGUUAUUAAUUCUACUACGCUUCUCCCCCCACGCGGAGGGGAAAGGGAGUCAAAUUAAUCACGGCCACAGGAUGGAAGUACUAAUAAAAUAAAAGAAGAGAGCGCACAUAAACAACCAACAACAAAAGGAUGGAUUUGCAAUUAGCAUAACACGGUGUAUUUCCACCACUCGCGGAGAUCAAAGGGUCCUUGCUGCCAUGCAUUCCUGCAGACAAACUACUACCACCACCAUCACGGGUACCGGAAGCAGAUAAGAGGAGUCCCAUCCAUGAGAAUGAAUCCCACUUUCUCUCUCUCCAAUUCUUGGCCUAACUCUUCCACGUCAAGUCAAACAGUCGUCGUCGUCGUCGUCUCAACUUCUCACUUGACACACGUCCGUCCGGUGUGUUUAAUAGGAUGAAGAAGAAGAAGAGGAGGACGACUUCUUGAGAAAAUGUUUGCCCAGACAAAACCAGCAACAUUGGUCUUUUAUGGAACACAUUGAAUUGAAUGCUCAGCAAUAAUGGAGAACUGCGUAGCCUUUAAUCAUGAUUUAUUAGUACGAGAGGAGUAUGAGCUGGAUCAUGUCAACUUUUGGACGACAUUUAAGGCGACUGUUGGAAUGAAGUGGUUUCUUCGGAACUAUUGAAUUAUGUCCCAACUCAGAAAUAAGAGGACAUGACACUGUGUGAUAUAUAUCGUGUCGGCGAUUAUUAAGACAAAUUGGUGGUGGUAGCUUAAGUAAAAUUAUUCUACAAAGAGAGAGUUUUCGACCUUUUUGAUUAUUCAUUGCUUAUUUUAUUAUAAUUCAAAACAGUUCGGAUGGUACAUUGGUGUGUAUUUUUUUUCGUACGUAUAUUAACCUGCUAAUAUAGUGAGAUAUUUGUUUUUACAUUGUAAUUUGUACAUCUAGUAAAGUAAUGAUGACUAAUGGAAAGAUUCAAGAA